CAGAAGAGAAAAUGAUCAAGUAAAUUACACAGCGAUGAUUGCGAGAAAGGAUGUACUUCUCAUUAUUUAUUUGUUUAUAGAAGAGGAAAACUGAAAUUUUGCUUGUAUCCAGAAGACAAAGCUCCUCAAAGGGUUUCAUUAAUUCGGACACAUGCAAAAUUUGGUGUUGUACAAAAAAACGUAAACACAACAAUCCCAAAAAAUGAACAUUUGACUGCAAAAAGAACAUCAAUCUGAAAACAGACAUAAAAGACUUAAUACUUGUAAG
rnacentral:misc_RNA from 1 species